AGAGUUUGAUCCUGGCUCAGGAUGAACGCUAGCGGCAGGCUUAACACAUGCAAGUCGAGGGGCAGCACGUCUUCGGAUGGUGGCGACCGGCGCACGCACGGGUGCGUAACGCGUAUGUAAUCUACCAUUAACCGGGGAAUAGCCCAGAGAAAUCUGGAUUAAUGCCCCAUAGUAUUGUCGAAAGGCAUCUUUUGAUAAUUAAAGCUCGGGCGGUUUUAGAUGGGCAUGCGCGUCGUUAGUUUGUUGGUGAGGUAACGGCUCACCAAGACUACGAUGACUAGGGGGUCUGAGAGGAUGAUCCCCCACACUGGUACUGAGACACGGACCAGACUCCUACGGGAGGCAGCAGUGAGGAAUAUUGGUCAAUGGGCGAAAGCCUGAACCAGCCAUGCCGCGUGCAGGAAGACUGCCCUAUGGGUUGUAAACUGCUUUUAUACAGGAAGAAACACUCGGACGUGUCCGAGCUUGACGGUACUGUAUGAAUAAGCACCGGCUAACUCCGUGCCAGCAGCCGCGGUAAUACGGAGGAUCCGAGCGUUAUCCGGAUUUAUUGGGUUUAAAGGGUGCGUAGGCGGAUUGAUAAGUCAGUGGUGAAAGCCUGCAGCUUAACCUGGGAACUGCCAUUGAAACUGAUUUUCUUGAGUGUAAAUAAGGUAGGCGGAAUGUGUUGUGUAGCGGUGAAAUGCAUAGAUAUAACACAGAACACCAAUUGCGAAGGCAGCUUACUAAACUGAUACUGACGCUGAGGCACGAAAGCGUGGGGAUCGAACAGGAUUAGAUACCCUGGUAGUCCACGCCGUAAACGAUGAUCACUCGCUGUUUGCGAUAUACAGCAAGCGGCUGAGCGAAAGCAUUAAGUGAUCCACCUGGGGAGUACGAUCGCAAGGUUGAAACUCAAAGGAAUUGACGGGGGCCCGCACAAGCGGAGGAACAUGUGGUUUAAUUCGAUGAUACGCGAGGAACCUUACCUGGGCUUAAAUGUAGGCUGCAUUCGGCUGAAAGGCUGAUUCCCUUCGGGGCUGCUUACAAGGUGCUGCAUGGUUGUCGUCAGCUCGUGCCGUGAGGUGUCGGGUUAAGUCCCAUAACGAGCGCAACCCUUAUCGUUAGUUGCUAACGCGGCAACCCGGAGACCCGAGCGAGACUGCCUGGGUAAACCGGAGGAAGGUGGGGAUGACGUCAAAUCAGCACGGCCCUUAUGUCCAGGGCUACACACGUGUUACAAUGGCCGAUACAAAGGGCAGCUACUCCGCGAGGAGAUGCGAAUCUUUAAAAUCGGUCUCAGUUCGGAUCGGAGUCUGCAACUCGACUCCGUGAAGUCGGAUUCGCUAGUAAUCGCGCAUCAGCCAUGGCGCGGUGAAUACGUUCCCGGGCCUUGUACACACCGCCCGUCAAACCAUGGGAGCUGGGGGUGCCUGAAGUCUGCCACCGCAAGGAGCGGCCUAGGGUAAAACCAGUGACUGGGGUUAAGUCGUAACAAGGUAACC
rnacentral:rRNA from 1 species